AGGCGGUUAGCUCAGCUGGUUAGAGCGCCACGUUGACAUCGUGGAGGUCGUUGGUUCGAUUCCAAUACCGCCUACCA
rnacentral:tRNA from 60 species